AUGGAUGUUAAGACUGCUUUCCUAAAUGGAGAGUUGGACGAGGAAAUUUAUAUGGAACAACCAGAUGGGUUUGUACUAGAUGGUCAGGAAGGAAAAGUGUGCAAGUUGCUCAAAUCUUUGUAUGGACUCAAACAAGCACCCAAACAGUGGCAUGAGAAGUUUGAAAGAACUUUAACCGCUGCAGGCUUCGUUGUAAAUGAAGCUGAUAAAUGUGUGUACUAUUGCCAUGGUGGGGGCGAAGGAGUUAUUCUUUGCUUGUAUGUUGAUGACAUACUGAUUUUCGGAACAAAUCUGAAUGUUAUUAAGGAGGUCAAGGAUUUCCUAUCUCGUUGUUUUGAGAUGAAGGAUUUAGAAGUGGCUGAUGUCAUUUUGAACAUCAAGUUGUUGAGAGACGAUGAUGGUGGGAUUACAUUGCUUCAAUCUCACUAUGUGAAAAAGAUCUUGAGUCGCUUUGGCUAUAGUGACUGCAAGCCCUCUCCAACACCAUAUGAUGCGAGUGUGUUACUUCCAAUGAAUCGAAGAAUUGCUAGAGAUCAAUUGAAAUAUUCUCAGAUUAUUGGCUCGCUUAUGUACUUAGCCAGUGCUACAAGACCUGACAUCUCUUUUGCUGUGAGCAAACUGAGUCGGUUUGUCUCAAAACUAGGAGAUGUGCGGAAAGCUCUAGAGAGAGUUUUGCGUUAUUUGAAAGGCACUGCGAAUUAUGGAAUUCACUACACUGGGCAUCCAAAGGUGCUUGAAGGGUAUAGUGACUCAAACUGGAUCUCAGAUGCUGAUGAGAUAAAGGCCACGAGCGGUUAUGUAUUCAUUCAUGGAGGUGGCGCUGUUUCUUGGAAGUCUUGCAAGCAGACCAUCUUAACGAGGUCAACAAUGGAAGCAGAAAUCACAUCACUAGAUACAGCUACGGUCGAAGCAGAUUGGCUUCGCCGGCUCUUGAAUGACUUGCCGGUUGUUGAGAAACCUGUACCGGGUAUCCUUAUGAACUGCGACAAUCAAACUGUGAUCACGAAAGUGAGCAGCUCAAAGGAUAACAUGAAGUCAUCAAGACACGUUCAGAGAAGGUUAAAGUCUAUCAGGAAAAUGAGAAACUCCGGAGUUAUUGCAUUGGAUUAUAUUCAAACGUCUAAAAAUCUGGCAGAUCCUUUUACUAAGGGUCUAUCACGUAAUGUGAUAGAUAAUGCAUCGAGGGAGAUGGGUAUGAGACCCACA
rnacentral:rRNA from 1 species